GCCUCUGUGCUAGACCCAUUGCACUCUCGGCCUGGUGAGGAGGCUGAAGCCAUGGAAGCGCAGGCUUGGAGGAGGGCACAUCCCGAGCCCGCCUUGCCUCCGGGCCUGAACCGAGAACAGGCCUGGGCCUGGGCUCUGGAUAACUUCCCGGCGCUGAGCCGCCCCUCCUGCCUAAGCCCCGAGUUCUGCGGGGACGCGCACUACUGCGCCUGUGGGCUGUCGCGCCACGCUUGCCCCGGACACGCGGACGGUCCCGCGUCGAGAGCGGCCAGAAACGCUGGCGAGACUCGCAAGGCCAGGAGCCGGCUGCUUGUCCGGAAUGGAGCGACAGUCCCGUCAAGAAGAGGCCCAAGCCACACAGCGCCGGGCCCAGGAGGGUCUGAACAGCCAGCAGCUGCGGAGGCUGCCAGACCCGCGGCCAGAUCGCCUCCAGGAGGCCAGGAGGCCUCCACCCCAUCCCACACACCUCGAGGCUGCGGAAAACUGAGACUUGAAACCCGGUGGAACCCGGCAAGGGAAGGAAUAGCAGCCUCCUGUCUGGCCCACAGCACCCCUUCAACUCCUGCCCUGGACUGGGGCCUGAGUCAUCCUAGGGGAAGCCUCCUUCUACUUGGCUGGACUUCUCCUCUGGGUCCCUUGCCUUGCUCUGGGAUGAGCCUGGAGAUCUCUUUGGGCACAGCAUUCCUUCUUAUAGUUCCUUUCCUGAAUUACUGACAGGCUUUUCAGUUAGAAAUCUCUCUUCUGCUUUUGAACUGUGGUGUUGGAGAAGACUCUUCAGAGUCCCUUGCACUGCAAGGAGACCAAAUCAGUCAAUCCUAAAAGGAAUCAACCCUGAAUAUUCAUUGGAAGGACUAAUGCUUAAGCUGAAACUCCAAUACUUGGGCCACCUGAUGCAAAGGGCCGACUCAUUAGAAAAGUCCCUGAUGCUGGGAAAGAUUGAAAGCGGGAGGAAAAGGGGGUGACAGAGGAUGAGAUGGUUGGAUGGCAUUACCAACUCAAUGGACAUGAGUUUGAGCAAGCUCUGAGGAGAUGGUGAUGGACAGGGAAGCCUGGUGAGCUGCAGUCCAUGGGGUCCUAAAGAGUCUGACACAACUGAGGAACUGAACAACAACAACUUCUGGGAACCCAUGCUUUCUUAAGAAACUUAUUUGUAGCUGUAGUUAAGUCAUUCUUCUUAUAUUAAUUCCAAUUGUGCCCAAUGAUUAAAAUGUAACUUCUUAAUCUCUGCCUGUGGAAUUGAUUUGGAUGGGUGGUUGAGAAGAUAACCUGGAACACAGUGCAGUGACUGUAACAACAGGGCUUGGACUCAAGGCGGAGAGUCUCACCAAGCUGCAGAGGAAAGUAUCGAGAGGACCACCCAUGUAGGCUAUGAGAGGGCAGAAUUCCAGGCCCUUCCCCUGGGGACACCUGUGACCACCUACCCUGGGGUAUCUUGGCCUUUCUGGAUCCCAUUCAGCCACUUGAUCUGCAGUAUUUGGCUUUUCUGGGGCUGCAGUGGGACCAGGCUAGAACCCAAGUAUCGACUCCCAGACAGGCCUUUGUGGGAGCUUCCAAAGUACUCAGGACACAGAGAAAGCCUCUGAG
ensembl:lncRNA